rnacentral:tRNA from 1 species
GCGCCCGCUCGCCAAGGGCGGUGACACGCGGGUUGAGACUGCGCGCAUCGCGACGGACGAAGGCUCGCGCCAGCAGUUCCACAUCGCCGGGGCGCUC